UUCGCAGCGGACAGAUGGGAGCUUGCUCCCUGAUGUUAGCGGCGGACGGGUGAGUAACACGUGGGUAACCUGCCUGUAAGACUGGGAUAACUCCGGGAAACCGGGGCUAAUACCGGAUGGUUGUUUGAACCGCAUGGUUCAAACAUAAAAGGUGGCUUCGGCUACCACUUACAGAUGGACCCGCGGCGCAUUAGCUAGUUGGUGAGGUAAUGGCUCACCAAGGCAACGAUGCGUAGCCGACCUGAGAGGGUGAUCGGCCACACUGGGACUGAGACACGGCCCAGACUCCUACGGGAGGCAGCAGUAGGGAAUCUUCCGCAAUGGACGAAAGUCUGACGGAGCAACGCCGCGUGAGUGAUGAAGGUUUUCGGAUCGUAAAGCUCUGUUGUUAGGGAAGAACAAGUACCGUUCGAAUAGGGCGGUACCUUGACGGUACCUAACCAGAAAGCCACGGCUAACUACGUGCCAGCAGCCGCGGUAAUACGUAGGUGGCAAGCGUUGUCCGGAAUUAUUGGGCGUAAAGGGCUCGCAGGCGGUUUCUUAAGUCUGAUGUGAAAGCCCCCGGCUCAACCGGGGAGGGUCAUUGGAAACUGGGGAACUUGAGUGCAGAAGAGGAGAGUGGAAUUCCACGUGUAGCGGUGAAAUGCGUAGAGAUGUGGAGGAACACCAGUGGCGAAGGCGACUCUCUGGUCUGUAACUGACGCUGAGGAGCGAAAGCGUGGGGAGCGAACAGGAUUAGAUACCCUGGUAGUCCACGCCGUAAACGAUGAGUGCUAAGUGUUAGGGGGUUUCCGCCCCCUUAGUGCUGCAGCUAACGCAUUAAGCACUCCGCCUGGGGAGUACGGGUCGCAGACUGAACUCAAAGGUAUGACGGGGGGUCGCCACAAGCGGGUGGGGAGGCAUUGGUUGGGU
rnacentral:rRNA from 1 species